CCUACGGGAGGCAGCAGUGAGGAAUAUUGGUCAAUGGACGAGAGUCUGAACCAGCCAAGUAGCGUGAAGGAUGACGGCCCUAUGGGUUGUAAACUUCUUUUAUAAAGGAAUAAAACGAGGCACGUGUGCCUUUUUGCAUAUACUUUAUGAAUAAGGAUCGGCUAACUCCGUGCCAGCAGCCGCGGUAAUACGGAGGAUCUGAGCGUUAGCCGGAUUUAUUGGGUUUAAAGGGAGCGGAGAUGGGUUGUUAAGUCAGUUGUGAAAGUUUGCGGCUCAACCGUAAAAUUGCAAUUGAUACUGGCAGCCUUGAGUACAGUUGAGGUAGGCGGAAUUCGUGGUGUAGCGGUGAAAUGCUUAGAUAUCACGAAGAACCCCGAUUGCGAAGGCAGCUUACUAAACUGUGACUGACAUUGAUGCUCGAAAGUGUGGGUAUCAAACAGGAUUAGAUACCCCGGUAGUC
rnacentral:rRNA from 1 species